GAGAUUUUAGAUUGGGUUUAUGCUCAACUCUCUUAAUUUUGUCUCUCUCUAUCACAACUCUCUCGCACACCUCUACUUCUCUUUCUUCCUCAAUACACAUAUCAACCUCUUUCUCACCUCUGCAGAUAAAACUCUCUUCCUGGAAAUCAUCAUCAUCUUUCAUCACAUAUCUAACUUUGCGUCUCUCCCUAUUAGUGAGAACAGUAAGAUGGUAUAUUUAUUUUUAAUUUCAGUUCUCAAUUAUGCUUCUCUCUCUUCCUCAACAGUAUUAAUCAAUUAGCAUAAUCUCUCUCAGCCCCCUCUUUUAAUUUCUUUUUCUUCAAAGAAGACUUCCUCUUUUAAUUGAGGUAUGGUUUUUACCAUUAUUUUAAUUUAGUCCUAUGAUUUUAAUUUAAUGAUUGAUUCAUAGUUUUUAUUAUUGCUGAAGGUGCAUUACUAUUUUGGUUCUACAUAAAACUGGAGGUGCCCUUGCCUGCUCUUACAUAAAAACAGGUCAAAAGUCCAAUCAUAAGUUACGAUUAGACUUUUUUUUUGCUCGAAUAUGAGAUAUGGUUUUCUGGUGAAAAAUUUAAGUACAAUGUCAUUCCUCCCCAUCUGUUAUGUUAGAGUGUGAUCAGCAACCAUUAAAUAGUUUAAUUAAUAAAAAAAAAAAAAAAAAAAAACUUGAUCGAAUAAUCUAUUGUUAUGUUCUUCUCUUUUCACUUAUCUAUAGAAUUUAAAAUAAAAACUUGAUCAUGGACCAUCAAACAAUUCUAUGUACUAAUUGAUAAUAUUCUAAUUGAAUUUGCGUAAACUGGUUGCAGAUUUUUCUUGCAACCAUCUUUCCAUGUCUGACUUCCCCACCGCCACUUUCUGCGGCACUCAAAAGUGUGUUGCAAUAUCUGCCACCCCCACUGCUACUUCAUGCAGCACCCAAAAACAUUUACAAGCAGGUUGAUCCUUUUAUUACAUUGACAAGCAUUUGCAUUACUAUAACCCAUUUCUAAAGCAUUUGCAUUAGUGUAACCCGUUUCAAAUUGACAAGAAGGCGUAUUUCUUAAUAUAUAAAUAGAUUUUUUGGCAUACUAACAUUUGCAGUUUUGCGGGUUUAUUUUUUUAGGUUUUUGCGAGGGUUGAGGAUGUGGAUGUAGAUGUCGAACAAGGAUUCACUAAUAAAUAACUCAAACAUAACCUCUUCGUAGAAUUGUAUUCACUUAUAUAUAUAAUUUGUGCAGUUUUAUUUUCCUGAAAUUCUCCUAAGGUUAAUUUUUAUUCGGUUGCUUGAAUUUUGCAAAUUUGGCCAUUAUAUUAAGUGAAGGUAUCACACUUAAUAUAAUUGAAGCAAAAUUAAUGUCAAUCAUCAAACCUAAAGAUUUUUGAAGGUAUCUUUGUUUUCCAAAUUAAUUUGGUUUUGUAGGGAUAGAAAAAUAAUUUAUGACGAAAGUGGCUGCUCACAGAGAAUGACUUGCUACCUUUCCAAACCACGGAAUCCUCACAAUCAUCACUACAUUAGUUCAGCAGGUGAGAUUUGAAUUGUUUCUUAUGCCCUUCAUUGUUUCUUAUACCUCCCCUAAAGUAGAACUGCCAUUUACGUGCAUUAUUUCUUAUACGUCUUCAUUGUUUCCUAGGAUAUGUACUGUUCAUGAGAAAAAUUUCCAAGAAUAAUGUCCAUGCAAAGAUUGUGUACCAAAACCAAGCGUAACUAACAAUACAGACAAUCAACUUCCUUUUAGUAAAUUAUCAAAUACACGGUAUGAAACCUUAACCUAUAAAGAAAGACAGGCACAUCAAACCCUGAUGCCAAAAGGCACCUCUUAUCAUUCCAAUAUUCAAUUUUCAAAUAAGCAUUUACUCUUUAAAAAACUUUGACAAAACAUAUUCAACAUCUUAGUGUUAUAUAUAAUAUUAGAGGCAAUUCAUCCUUCCUCACCAAACACUCCUGUCUCUCGCUUUGAAGAUGCUCCAUAGAAAAUCAAUAAGAUUUAGUUGAAAGUAUUGGUUGCAGUACAACUAAAAGUGUUGUAAAAUGCUUGAUAGUUAGUCAAUGCCCUAAGAAACUGAUGAAAUUUAAGAAAUGACAUUUAGAAUGAAAAGAACCCGGCAUUGAAGUAUGUUUUCCUUUUAGUCUUAGGCAUAAUAACCCUUUUAAAUCAGAAAAUUAGGACACAGGUAAGCAAAAUGAAAUUAACAUCAUCUUAUCCCAAUAAAUUUAAGUACAACAUUACUCCUGCUCAUCAAAGACAAUGCUCUCAAAUCUUUCAUUGUAGGUACUCCAUAGACAGCCACAUGAAUAAGUCAAAGGAAUGAGUUCUUUUUUUGGAUGUACAACUACUCUAUUAUGUUACAGUGUAAUGAGUGACCAUUAAAUAAUUCAAUUAGGUAAAAUGAUCAAAAAAUACAACGUACUUUCACUUUUUUUUCACUUUAUACAAUGUACAAAAAAUCACGUCAAAACAUCAAUGUACUUUGAAAUUUUUUCCACGUUAUACAAUCUGUCUAAAACAUGCUAACGGACUGCAGACGUGGCUAAUAUUUAUCUACGUGUAUUUUUUCUUUUAAAAUAAAGUUAAACAACAUUUCCAACACAUCAAAAUGAGGCACAUGUUUCUCAUGUGAUUGACUCCUUCUCUAUUUGACUCCUUCUCUAUUUGAACAAGUUUGAACUGUAGCAUCUUUUAUACAGUUUGCUAAUCACAUAUCAAUUCAUGUUAAGAUGGGUUAGAAAGCAUUGAAAUAAGAUGGGUUAGAAAGCAUUGAAACUAGACAAUCUACAGUAAUUUGCGUUUCGAAUAAUGGGUGACCGCUUUUUCUAUAUAAACUUCAAAUGCACUAUAAUUUGUUGAAUCUGAAAGAAUAUCUCCCCAGUAAUUACACAUAAGAAGAGACUUCUCCAAAAGCAAACAGAAAAUUUCAUACCUAUUGGCUAUUAGAAUUUAGAAACAAAGCCAACCAAAAAACUACAUUUAGAAUCAUAAAUCUAACAUCUUACUAUGUUUUGCUUUACAUUAAGAUAAGAGAUCAGUAAUACUUUCUUUAAUCAUCAGCAGGAGCAGCAGCCUGCCAACUUGCUAUCAAGUCUAUACAAUUAAAGAGUUACACUAAGAUGAAAUCAUAAGUUUUGCUUAUGAAAAUCAAAUGGGUUGAACCAAUUUACCCAAAUCGAGUCAUUAUCAAGACAGAAGAUACCAAUCGAUUUCAGUUACUUUCAUCAUCUUGCUAAUAGAACAUUAAUUAAAGCCAGAAGAACAAAAGAAAUCACACAAAUUUCCACAGAAAAUAGACACAAUUAAAGCCAAGCUUCUUUUCAUUCAAAAUUCACUUCUAAAUCUUGCAACAAGAUACAAAUCAAACUAAACAACUACAAUUAGAAAGAUGAAACAAACCCUAAAUGACUAAAUCUAACAUCAUUUUCGUGUUUCUAUGUUUUUUUCUCUACAUCUAAACAUCAAUUUCCAGCUUUCUUCAACCUAAUCUUCAUCAGCAGGAACAGCAGCUUUCUUAGGCAACAAAAGACUAUGAAUAUUAGGCAUAAAAUUUGAAUUAGGGAUUUACAGAUUUGUUGAAUUGAAUUGUUCAAAUAGAGAAGGAGUCAAUCACAUGAGAAACAUGUGCCUCAUUUUGAUGUGUUGGAAAUGUUGUUUAACUUUAUUUUAAAAGAAAAAAUACACGUAGAUAAAUAUUAGCUACGUCUGCAGUCCGUUAGCAUGUUUUAGACAGAUUGUAUAACGUGGAAAAAAUUUCAAAGUACAUUGAUGUUUUGACGUGAUUUUUUGUACAUUGUAUAAAGUGAAAAAAAAAGUGAAAGUACGUUGUAUUUUUUGAUCAUUUUACCAUUCAAUUAAAUAAAAAUAACUGAUCAACUAAUCCAUUGUUUUGUUCUUCUUCUUUCACUUAUCCAUAGAAUUUAAAAUUAAAAAACUGAUCAUGGACCAUUGAAUAGCUCUCUCAGAUCAUUAAGAAAACCAGAAUAACAACUUUUUGAGACACCAAUUACAUAUUAUACAACUAGGCACACAGACAUGAAGAAGUAGGAUUCAAGAAUUGUUCCAUUACUUUUAAGCCCAAAUACCACAAACAUUGGAGUGUCAGUAUUUGUCUAAUCAUAUGUUAUUCCCUUUAUGUCAAAUUAAAGGUAUUCCAUACUCUCAAUUAGUGCAGGAGAAAGAGAGAUUAUCAAAAGAGGGGGGAAAUUGCCUUUAUUGGUUAUGGAUUAGCAGAGAGCCAGAGAAGAGAGAAAGUAUUCUUUGGGAUAUUUGUUGAGGAAGAGAAAGAUCGACGGUAGAGUUGUGUGUGUGUGUGUGAGAGAGAGAGAGAGAGAGAGAGGAAUAAUGGUUUCACCUUUGAUCAACAUCAACAAGAGACUCUGUUGCCUACUAGAAAGAUCACCCUUGAUUCCAUAAAAAAAUUUUGUACGUGCAUUACUAUUUACUUUGGUUCUACAUUAAACUGGAGGUGCCCUUGCAUGUUCUUACAUAAAAAUAGGCUGAGGCCCCAUCAUAAGUUACACUUAAACUUUACUUCAUUGAAUCUGAGAUAUGGUUUUUCUGUUCCAUAGCCAGUCAACUAUAUAUGGAAGAGUUGAGUUGUAAAAAUUAUGUAUCCUGAUCAAACAAUGGAAACUAAAAUACCAAUGGAGAAGCGACAUACUUUCCAUGAUCAUCUCCAUUCUCUAAAAUUCCCUUGACUGCAACACGAAGAACUUUCCAGAACUAACUCACUCACAAACCUCAUUUUCCACCUCAUUUUACUUGCGCUUACUGUUGUGUAGAAAAGAAAUUUUUUGUCAUUUGAAAGCUAUGCUUAUCCCAUGUACAAACCACCUGUGUGAAAUAACUUUGCAGGUAGGCACCCCUGUCUUAAUCUUUUAUAGGUAUGGUACAUUAGGUUUGGUUGCUAAACUCUUGAGUUUUUUACCGUAUGCAGUCAUGUGGGCCAUCGAUCUGGCUUAUGCGCAAUGAAAAGGUAUUCAAAGCAACAAAACCUAAACUGGACAGACUAUGCAAGAAUGUGAAGGCUUUUCCAUUGUUUUGGGUAGAUGGCAAUGCAUUGAACUCUUACCUGAGCUUCUCUGAUCUGCUCGCGAACUGGGAGAUUUGGUCGAUUCCCUAGCCUCCCAUAGCACAUUCUGCAAGGCCAAAGAUGUAGUUGCAGCCAAGUGACAACCUCCAUCACUUCGUGAGCUCAGUUUCCAACUACCAGCAACACAAGAAAGAUGUACAACACUGAGGCAGCAGCAACAGGAAUACACAAGCUCUUAAUGUGUUUUAUCACUUUUAUAUGACCUUAACGUUAUUGUUAGUAAUUAUUAUUUUUUCACUACCUGACGAUGUUGUUUAUGCAUGUUGAUAAGGCUCUAACCUCUUUUUGGAUAUUAAGAAAAUGAUACCGUACCUACCACCACAAUAAAAUUUAACUGUCGGUGUUCUUCCAAGUUCAAA
rnacentral:lncRNA from 1 species